GAAAAAAGAAUUUUUGUCAAUUCUUUAAAUACAUCUAUAACCGAUAAAAUGGCGUCACGAGAAAUGAAUACCAUGUUGAUAAUUAAAUCAAUGAUUUUCAAAAUCCCCAUUAUUCAAACGAACAUCAUAGAUCCGGACUUACUAAACUAAACGUUACAACAAAGAAUAAACAAAAGUUGGUGGAAUAAAAAUAUUUCUUUUUUUUUAAUUUUAAUUUUGGUUUGAUUAAAUUAAAAAUUAUGUACGUCGUAUGAAA